rnacentral:lncRNA from 1 species
GGGGGAGGGGGAUCCCUGCUUUAGUUGAAAGGAGGUGAGUCCUUAUAUAAAUAGAAACUAACAAGAGGAAUCUUCAGAAAGUGGGAAAGCCAGUGAAGCUCGACAAAUGACCUCGGGGAAAACGUCAGCAUUCCUCAAAACCCCUCCCAGCACAGUAGUGCACUCCCAGCUCCCUGAGGGCCUGGCUCUAAGUCUGAGGAAACACACUCUCUCUCGAACUUGAACUUGCCAGAGAGAACUCAGGCACUGACUGUGACGACGCGGGUGGGGAGAGACUGUGCACCUACACGUGUCACUUCACAAAGGCCUCCAGGGGCUUAUGAUCAGGCAAAGGAGACACCAGGAAAGAGGAGCAGAGUGGCUAGGGCAGUGCACUGCAGAUGCAUGGACGAAAGCUCGCAGCGACACAGGUAUGGGGUGUCUAAUCAGGGAUGAGUGUGAGCAGCAGAAUGAGGAGCAUGCUUUCCCAGAGGAAGAGAGGAAGCCACUGGAGAGAUGAAGGAUGCCAUGGACAGGAGGUGGUGUCUCUGGAGCCGCCGAGCAGCAGCCUCAUUGCUCAGAAGAUGAAGAUGCUGACGAAGACCCAGACAGGAAAAAAGGAAGAAAAAGCAUCCUGAUUGUUCCAUUAGCAAAGCCACAGUCCCGGAGAGCAAGGGGAGGGGCACAGCAGGCAGCCGCACCCAUGGGAUGCAUCUGCAGCUUGUGAGCAAUGCAUGAAAGAUGAAUCACACAGCAGCAAUGCCUUCAGCUUCCGUGUGCUAUGGCUCACUCAGCACCAGCUCUGCAGGCUGCCUAAGCCAGAAGUCAGUCUCUGCCUUUAGACUUGCUCACUUCUUUUAGGAACGGAGAUAUCCUCUGAUCCCUUGUCCUACAACCUCGAUUAAUAUCUUUCCAACAGCCAUCUGCCAAACUCAAGAAGACCCUGGAACAACCUAAUUGGAAAAGUUUCCAUCUUAUCCCUUGGAAAACUAUAGAAAAGUAGUGUCACACAAAUGUUUAAUUUCUGAUUUCUACAAUUUCAGAUACCAGAGUUUAUCUGUUACCAUGACAACUAACAGCUUUAUAAAUGUUUUCUAGCCUCUGCUAUUUUCUGGAACUUAUCUACAUUUCAGUAUUUGCUUAAUAAUUUUGAGCUGACACUAGCAACAUAAUUGUGUCUGGAUUGUGUAUGUGUAUGUCUUGUGUGUGUUGGCAGGGGGUGGGUAUAACCUAUGUCAGUGUUUUUCAAUGUGAGCAAAUUUUAAUAAACUUUUAUAUUUAAUGUGAACAUUAACUGUCACAUUCCCUCUGCC